rnacentral:rRNA from 1 species
UACGUAGGGGGCAAGCGUUGUCCGGAAUCAUUGGGCGUAAAGAGCGUGUAGGCGGCUUGGCAAGUCUGACGUGAAAGCCCGCGGCUCAACCGCGGAUUGUCGUUGGAAACUGCCUCGCUAGAGUCCGGAAGAGGAGAGCGGAAUUCCUGGUGUAGCGGUGGAAUGCGCAGAUAUCAGGAAGAACACCCGUGGCGAAGGCGGCUCACUGGCCCGGUACUGACGCUGAGGUGCGAAAGCCAGGGGAGCGAACGGG